AAAAAAUAUUUAAAAAAAAUGAAAAAAUAACAAAAAGCUAUAGUAGGCUAAAAUUUGAAUUCUCACCAAUAUGCUACAGUAGACUAAAAUUUGAAUUUUCAAGAAAUCUAAGAAAUUCAAUUUCAUGGUAAAUAUAAGCUUCAAACACCCUUUUUGUGGAAGUUAGAAUCCAAAUUCUAUUUUCUAGGGAAAAUUUUGUUGAAUCAAACGGUGCCUAAUGUUACAUCCAACUCUUGUACUCUCACAAUUUCUUUCUCCCACCAGGGCAAAAGAUUUUAUCUCCUCUAGCAUUAUUUGUUUUCCUUUCCUUUCAUAUCACAAAUAAUUUUCAGCAAGUUUCGUUUGAUUCCUUAUUCUUUUUACUAUUUGUUAUUCGUGUUUUGCUCAAAGGAAGGGAUCAUAGAUGAUACUAGAGGAAACAUAAAAUCUUCCACCCUGAGUUGGGGAAAGAAAUCGUGGAAGUACACAAGGCUAAUGAAAUGUACAUAUUUUCUUAGAACACGGAUGAAAGACUUAGAUACUAUGAAUCUAAUGAAAAUUUCAGGGAAAACAGACUUAUGCUCAGAAAACAUGAAAUUUCUUCUCAUGGAUCUAUUUAAAAAUCUCUGAAGUCAGACAUCUAAAAUUUUUUUUUCAUAAAUCAUCACAGCAGAAGUAAGAGAACUAAACCAACAAAUAGGCAUUUACCUAAACCAAAAAAUAGGCAGAUACCUCAAUUAAUUAAAUCAACAAAUCUAAAAUAAACGAAAUUACAGCAACUCUCACACUCAACAAAAUUUAUCUGCUCGUGUUUCAUAUCAGAAUAGCGUAUAUUGCCUUGUAAUAAAACAGGAAAUCAUACCGCCGCUACAAUUAAUUUUACAGCAGAUCCAGAGAGAAGGAAAAUUGAUUCUUAUUUUAUUAUUAUCACUAAAUUUGAGUAAAACUCUGAGGAAAUUUUAAUGAUAUAAGAGGAGAUCAGAGAUUGGUAGGGUUUAUCAAUCACCGUUUAGUCAGAAACACGGACCAAAGAAGUUAUUCGUCAUAUCUCCUGAUUCAUUAAAAAGAAAAACUUCUAUUUUACCAAAAUAACGUAAAAUAAAAUAAAAUAAAAAAUUAUAAAUAAAAUCAUGAGAAAGGAUUUCGAAACUAAUGAGAUAGGAAAUCAUCAGAGACUUAAAUACAAUGAAUCACGGAAAAUUAACGUAUCAUAUUGUUGCAGUUUUUUUCUCAUCACCUGAUUUCAAUUGCGCAAAACAUAUAAAGAAAUCAAAAAAUAAUCGAGAGAGAUAAACAGAACGAGUAGAGGAUUAAGACAAACCCUAACAGAAGAUUCGAGAACGAUGUAUUGAGUGCUGUUGAUCUGUGCCAUAGAAACCAAUUGAGAAAACGCCUCUGCAUAUAAAAGGGCUUUAUGAUUCGUAUACCCUAAAUUGAGAGGCGGGUUGGCCUUUAUCGUAAACUUAAUGGGCCCGAUUUGCG
rnacentral:lncRNA from 1 species